UAAUAUGCUGUUUGGCUCAGG
ensembl:piRNA 21ur-9519 ncRNA